rnacentral:lncRNA from 1 species
UUUUUUUUUUUUUUUUUUUUUUAAAGAUUUUAUUUAUUGAUUAUAUGUAAGUACACUGUAGCUGUCUUCAGACACUCCAGAAGAGGGAGUCAGAUCUUGUUACGGAUGGUUGUGAGCCACCAUGUGGUUGCUGGGAUUUGAACUCCUGACCUUUGGAAGAACAGUCGGGUGCUCUUACCCACUGAGCCAUCUCACCAGCCCCGGAAAUACUUUUUUGAUAAGCAUUGAAUAUCUUUUAAUGGCACCGCUCAUGCCUGUAAUCCUUGCACUUGAGCUGAGGUAGGAGGAUUCCCAUGAGUAUGAGGCUACCUCGGCAGAAAAAGGAAGGGAGGGAGGGAGAGAAGUGAGUGUUAAAUUUAAGCACUGAGGUGAAAUAACAUGCACAGGUCUGAAGUGGGGAUUUUUCUCUUGGGAGCCUAAUAAACAAUGACCUGAGUGUCUAGCAUCAGAGCAUCAGAGCAGCUCCUUUCAGGCUUCCUGUCCUGGGGAUUACUUCUAGGUUCUCAUGCAUUUCUGUGUGGCUCAGACAGAAGUGACCUCUUAUACUGAUAGUCUGGUUUUUCCAAACCCCAACUGUUUCUCAAUGUAUAGAAACAUAAAUAUUCUCAUCCAGCAGUGAGAGUCAGAAUUCAAGGGGAGGCCAGUAGUAACACAAUCCCUGCUUUCCAGGAUGGAAAAACUGAGGUACAGAAAGAUUAAAGAGCUGCCUGGAGAUCAUACUGCAAGACACCUGCACACCUGGAAAUUGGAUCUGGAUCUUCAAAUGCAUUUGCAGAGUCUGAUCCAGUGCAGGAAGAUGAUACUGGAGGUCUUCCUUUCAGUCUGGGUUGUCAUCCUGGCAUGCAAAUCCAAGGCAGAGUGCACCACCUUCAGUGACUGUGAAACAUGAAGGCAGUUGCUGAACAUGUAUACUGUCUGCCUGCCUGAGAAGAGAGACUGCCAAGUGUAGGCUAGGAGGAGAUAAAGCGUUCUGUUUGGGUUUAUAGAGAGAAAUAGCUCUGAUGCCUUAAUUCUUCGAGUCCUAGGGAGAAGCAAUAUCAGACCUAGGAGCACAGUUCCUGCUGUGUUUUCUCAAAGCUAUAGGAGAGGAGCAAAUGACUUUUGGCAGACUGACUAGGCAGCAGGCUCUGUGUCAGCUAAGAGAUGGGGAACUCUGUGUUCUUUUCGUCUGCUUUUGGGACAUAAUUUAGGAACAGUGUUUUGUACUAAAGGACUGUCUGUCUGAUAGUGCUCAAGGGAGAUCUGGGAGGCACAGGGGAAGGAUAUGAAAGGAGAGCUAGGAUGCUGCCUCAUGGUGGCUUCAUAGGACUCAGAUAAAAGGCACAAAGAUGUGUUAACCAGGAGAGAGACAGGACUCUCCAGAGGCUCUUUAUCACAGCUGGCAGACACAAUCUUUAAAAUGACUGACCAUGACAAGAGGCCAAGUAGGAAAUUUCAGAUGUUUUUGACUCAUGUAGUGUGCGCGCGCGCGCGCGCGCGCGCGUGUGUGUGUGUGUGUGUGUGUGUGUGUGUGUGUGUGUGAUGGUUUCUAGCUCACUUGGUUUCCUUCCAUGUUAAAUAUAGUUUUACUUUGUGUAGGUUCUGCAUAUAUGGUCCCUUUUUGCUACUGCAGGGAGACCCCUCCAUGUGAGGAAGCAGAAGUGACUACUAGCUAAACAGGAAGCCACAGGCAAGCACAGAGGGGGCUGGAGAGGAGGCUGCUGAGCUGAGGUACUCCCUGACUAUUCAGUGACAGUUAAGUGUCAGAGAUGGCUCACCACAGUCUCUAAUUCCAGUUCCAGAGGCUUCGAUGCCCUCUUCUGACCUCUUUGUGUACCAGCACACAUGUGCACGUACAUACAUGCAUGCAAAACACUCAUAACAUAGAAUAAAAAAGCCCAAAAAGUUAUUUUUAAAAAAGAGAAUACCAUGGCGAAGGCUUUUGAGUUGUCUGCUCUCUCCUUAAAAGCACAUGUCCUUUCAUACUUUGAGGAAUGGCUGGCAACCAUCUGGCACAAAGGAUUCUUGAGGGACAGUCGUAGGAGGUGAAACUAAAAACACAGACCCUAGGACACAUUGUGGAGGCCCUUAAAAGCCACACCACGAAGGCUUGGGGUUUCAUCAGGGAAGUGAGACUGACUCUGGCAGCUGAGUGGAGAGCGGGUCAGAGGAGCCAGCCUGGGUUCUGCAGCACUGCAUGGUUAAAAGAAUCAAACAUUUCUUUUUUCCUAGAAUUUUUUUUUAGAGUACAAUGAUUUUGAUUUCCUGAUAAACUGAAGUCUGUUUUUAGGUUUGUUUAUGAAGCAUACUUGCAUUUUAUUAAAGAACAAAGGCCAAAUGGUCCUCAGACUCUGAGCAGUGUCAUCUCCGUUGGUCUGGAAGUAGCGAAGGUCAUGAUCUCCUUGUCAGAUGCCAAGACUCUUUCUACAACUUGGUAGAUUUCUCGGUAAGGUAUUUCAGAUGCCUUUUAGAACCGUUUCUCAGAAACAACUGUGAUUUGAUUUCUGAGAUUUCCAGUUUUGCCAUCAACUUUAACCUUUGCCCAUAGAAACUGUUCAGCAUUUCCAUCUUCUAUUGGACGAGCAGGGACCACAUCAAACUUCCAAGUUGAUCUCUUAGGCUUCUUGUCCUUCUAUGCUUUUUUCUAGAAUUUUAAUUUGUUUUUAUUUUGUGUGCGUGUUAACGAGCAUGCCCCAGCACACAUCUGGGAGGUCUGUGGACAACUUGGAGUUGGUUUUCUGCAGGUUCCAGGACUUGAACUCAGACCAUCAGACUCUGUGGUAACCACUCUUACCUACUGUUUUGUUUUGUUUUUUAAGAUAGAGUCUAACUCUGUCACCCAGGAUAGCCUCAAAUUCACAAUGCUCUUGCUUCAGUCUCCAGAGUGCUGGGAUUUCAGGCAUGUGUUACCAUUCCCAAUACCACUGCCCUGUUGUUAGCAUCUUUCUGCAAGCCACCCUGCCAACAUCCAUCCAUGCAGGAUGUAAGGCUGUGACUCCUCUCCCAUUCAGUGAGGGACAGUUUUGGCAACUCAUUUUUAAGGAGUUUGAACAAGAUGCUGUCAUUACUGAAAUGGGAAGGCUGUGGAAAGAGAAUGACAAAUCAAAUACAGCCUUAGCUGAGCAGCGUUCACACCCUCAGUAAUGACUCUUGUGGAUUAUUCCUGACGAAAGGCUGAGAGGAUGGAAUGUAUCAUCAGUUUAAUUCUGAGAAACCCAAACUCAAAUUGAGGGACGUUCAAGAAAAGAACUGACCAGUGCCCUUCAGAAGAGUCAGGGACGUGAAGAUAAAGAAAAACUGAAAACUGUCCCUCCUCGAGACCAAGGACACAUGAUCAUUCAAUACAAUAAAGAAUCCUAAACAUGGUCCUGAGCUGAAAAGUGACAUCAGUGGUAAAAUCCACAUCCACAGGUCAGGACCCGGGCUCACACCUGUGACACUUUCCUAAUUCUCAACAUAUCAUGGUAAUGUAAGAUAUUAGGACAAGCUGCAUGAAACAAGAGAGACGCUCUUUGUUGUCUUCUCUGACCACACACGGGUGCCCACACUCAGGCCCACACAUCACACAUACUCAUAUAAU